GAAGAGGUUAUAAAAUUUGAUGAAUUACGUGAGCAACAGUAUAAAAUACUCGUUAGCUGUGUUACUUUUAUGUUGAGUUCUUAUUAAGACAAGCUGGCUACAAAUUACAAGUUUAGUGACUUACUUUAAUUUGACAGUUUGACGUACACAAAGGGAUUGUAAAACCAUACCCUAGAAUUAGCAAUGGAAAAGUGAACUAAUUAAUUUCCAGCUAUAAAGAACAGAGCAUGAGGUAAAAGUGGAACAAGCAUAUUAUCCAUCUCAGUCCAUAUAUUUUGUGGCUGAAGACCUUCUUGAACAAGAUGCCAUUCCAUGCUUUCAAAGACAGCCAGGUGUCAUUGUCAAACAGGACUGCUACCAAAAUAUUGGAGAAAAACAUUUUAGGUUCCUAGUCAGCUAUUCCCUUUUGCCACCUAUUCCCA
rnacentral:lncRNA from 1 species